CACGUGUCGUGGCUAAGCCCUCGCGGCGGACGAGCCGCGCGGGCCGCCUUGAAUUACAAUUUCCACCGGGCGGCGGACUGAAUCCUUUGCAGACGACUUAAAUACGCGACGGGGUAUUGUAAGUGGCAGAGUGGCCUUGCUGCCACGAUCCACUGAGAUUCAGCCCUUCGUCGCUCCGAUUCGU
rnacentral:ncRNA from 1 species